GGAGGCCAGGGAUACUGCUCAGCACCCUGCAGUGCCCAGGACAGCCCCGCCCCAGAGAACUAUCUGGCCCCAGUGUCCACAGUGCCCACAGGGAGAGACCCUGGAGGGGUCCAUGGGUCUCAAACUUUGCCCACCCCAGCAUGGCCAGCGUUGCCUGGGAACUCGGUGGCAUGCAAGUUCUCAGGCCUCACCCCAGAGCCAGGGCUGCAGCUCAGCUUCCCACAAGGCACAGGAUGGCCCCAGAUGUCCACAAAGCCCAGGCACAGAAGCCUGUUCUGGGGGCCAGCUCAUCUAGCCUGAGUCUGGCUGGACCUCCACUAGCUGAGACGGAAGCCCAGCCAGCCCGCUCACCUCUUCCUGGAGAAGCCCGACGCAGCGCCCGCCACUCCCUCCCCUCCGUGUGCAGCUCCCCGGCUCUAAAGCACUCACUUGUCUAACCCGAUUCUCACCCUACAAGACCGCAACCGGCCAUCACUUCUGCCCUCCGCCAGGACACCGAGGCCAGCUGUGUCACUGCCCCGAGGGGUUGCAGGGGGACCCUGGAAAGGCUGGGGCAGCCUCCGAGCAUCGAGGUGAAGGCCGAGGAGUCUUUAUUGGUGACAGGCUGCUCACCGGCUGUCCCAAAAGCAGACACAGCUCAGGGCACAAGCUGCGUGCAGGCUGGCGGCUGGAACAGGUGAGGGAAUCCAGUGAUGCCAUCCAGCUGUCCAUGCUGAGAACCCAACGAGGGGCUUCCUUCCCGCUGGAGCCCACGCCUGCGC
rnacentral:lncRNA from 1 species